AAGCUUGCUUCUCUGAUGUUAGCGGCGGACGGGUGAGUAACACGUGGAUAACCUACCUAUAAGACUGGGAUAACUUCGGGAAACCGGAGCUAAUACCGGAUAAUAUUUUGAACCGCAUGGUUCAAAAGUGAAAGACGGUCUUGCUGUCACUUAUAGAUGGAUCCGCGCUGCAUUAGCUAGUUGGUAAGGUAACGGCUUACCAAGGCAACGAUGCAUAGCCGACCUGAGAGGGUGAUCGGCCACACUGGAACUGAGACACGGUCCAGACUCCUACGGGAGGCAGCAGUAGGGAAUCUUCCGCAAUGGGCGAAAGCCUGACGGAGCAACGCCGCGUGAGUGAUGAAGGUCUUCGGAUCGUAAAACUCUGUUAUUAGGGAAGAACAUAUGUGUAAGUAACUGUGCACAUCUUGACGGUACCUAAUCAGAAAGCCACGGCUAACUACGUGCCAGCAGCCGCGGUAAUACGUAGGUGGCAAGCGUUAUCCGGAAUUAUUGGGCGUAAAGCGCGCGUAGGCGGUUUUUUAAGUCUGAUGUGAAAGCCCACGGCUCAACCGUGGAGGGUCAUUGGAAACUGGAAAACUUGAGUGCAGAAGAGGAAAGUGGAAUUCCAUGUGUAGCGGUGAAAUGCGCAGAGAUAUGGAGGAACACCAGUGGCGAAGGCGACUUUCUGGUCUGUAACUGACGCUGAUGUGCGAAAGCGUGGGGAUCAAACAGGAUUAGAUACCCUGGUAGUCCACGCCGUAAACGAUGAGUGCUAAGUGUUAGGGGGUUUCCGCCCCUUAGUGCUGCAGCUAACGCAUUAAGCACUCCGCCUGGGGAGUACGACCGCAAGGUUGAAACUCAAAGGAAUUGACGGGGACCCGCACAAGCGGUGGAGCAUGUGGUUUAAUUCGAAGCAACGCGAAGAACCUUACCAAAUCUUGACAUCCUUUGACAACUCUAGAGAUAGAGCCUUCCCCUUCGGGGGACAAAGUGACAGGUGGUGCAUGGUUGUCGUCAGCUCGUGUCGUGAGAUGUUGGGUUAAGUCCCGCAACGAGCGCAACCCUUAAGCUUAGUUGCCAUCAUUAAGUUGGGCACUCUAAGUUGACUGCCGGUGACAAACCGGAGGAAGGUGGGGAUGACGUCAAAUCAUCAUGCCCCUUAUGAUUUGGGCUACACACGUGCUACAAUGGACAAUACAAAGGGCAGCGAAACCGCGAGGUCAAGCAAAUCCCAUAAAGUUGUUCUCAGUUCGGAUUGUAGUCUGCAACUCGACUACAUGAAGCUGGAAUCGCUAGUAAUCGUAGAUCAGCAUGCUACGGUGAAUACGUUCCCGGGUCUUGUACACACCGCCCGUCACACCACGAGAGUUUGUAACACCCGAAGCCGGUGGAGUA
rnacentral:rRNA from 1 species